CAAGAGAAGAAGAGGUGAUCCCUGGUCUCCAUGUCUUGCUGGCAUAGUGUACAGAUGCUGUCCAUGCUGGGAUUCCACUGUCUCAAUCGAUCCUUGGUAGGUAACCUAUCCUGCAGUAUCAGCCAAAGAUUAAACACUGCCUUAGGCCUGGCACAGUUUUGGAUGGUUAGAUUUUUCCACACAACUCUGGGCAGCUGCCCAAUCUGGUGAAGAUACAGCUUCUUGAUAGAACACUCUGAUUGGGACAAUAGCUGGGACUGGUGCAAUGCGACAGUAGCUUCUAUAAUCUUCCUUACCAUCCAG
rnacentral:lncRNA from 1 species